rnacentral:rRNA from 1 species
GACGAACGCUGGCGGCGUGCUUAACACAUGCAAGUCGAACGGAAAGGCCCUGCUUUUGUGGGGUGCUCGAGUGGCGAACGGGUGAGUAACACGUGAGUAACCUGCCCUUGACUUUGGGAUAACUUCAGGAAACUGGGGCUAAUACCGGAUAGGAGCUCCUGCUGCAUGGUGGGGGUCGGAAAGUUUCGGCGGUUGGGGAUGGACUCGCGGCUUAUCAGCUUGUUGGUGGGGUAGUGGCUUACCAAGGCUUUGACGGGUAGCCGGCCUGAGAGGGUGACCGGCCACAUUGGGACUGAGAUACGGCCCAGACUCCUACGGGAGGCAGCAGUGGGGAAUAUUGCACAAUGGGCGGAAGCCUGAUGCAGCAACGCCGCGUGCGGGAUGACGGCCUUCGGGUUGUAAACCGCUUUCGCCUGUGACGAAGCGUGAGUGACGGUAAUGGGUAAAGAAGCACCGGCUAACUACGUGCCAGCAGCCGCGGUGAUACGUAGGGUGCGAGCGUUGUCCGGAUUUAUUGGGCGUAAAGGGCUCGUAGGUGGUUGAUCGCGUCGGAAGUGUAAUCUUGGGGCUUAACCCUGAGCGUGCUUUCGAUACGGGUUGACUUGAGGAAGGUAGGGGAGAAUGGAAUUCCUGGUGGAGCGGUGGAAUGCGCAGAUAUCAGGAGGAACACCAGUGGCGAAGGCGGUUCUCUGGGCCUUUCCUGACGCUGAGGAGCGAAAGCGUGGGGAGCGAACAGGCUUAGAUACCCUGGUAGUCCACGCUGUAAACGGUGGGUACUAGGUGUGGGGUCCAUUCCACGGGUUCCGUGCCGUAGCUAACGCUUUAAGUACCCCGCCUGGGGAGUACGGCCGCAAGGCUAAAACUCAAAGGAAUUGACGGGGCCCCGCACAAGCGGCGGAGCAUGCGGAUUAAUUCGAUGCAACGCGUAGAACCUUACCUGGGUUUGACAUGGAUCGGGAGUGCUCAGAGAUGGGUGUGCCUCUUUUGGGGUCGGUUCACAGGUGGUGCAUGGCUGUCGUCAGCUCGUGUCGUGAGAUGUUGGGUUAAGUCCCGCAACGAGCGCAACCCUUGUUCACUGUUGCCAGCACGUUAUGGUGGGGACUCAGUGGAGACCGCCGGGGUCAACUCGGAGGAGGGUGGGGAUGACGUCAAGUCAUCAUGCCCCUUAUGUCCAGGGCUUCACGCAUGCUACAAUGGCUGGUACAGAGAGUGGCGAGCCUGUGAGGGUGAGCGAAUCUCGGAAAGCCGGUCUCAGUUCGGAUUGGGGUCUGCAACUCGACCUCAUGAAGUCGGAGUCGCUAGUAAUCGCAGAUCAGCAACGCUGCGGUGAAUACGUUCCCGGG